rnacentral:misc_RNA from 1 species
GAUGAAGAACGCAGUGAAAUGCGAUACGUAAUGUGAAUUGCAGAAUUCAGUGAAUCAUCGAAUCUUUGAACGCAUAUUGCGCUCUUUGGUAUUCCGAAGAGCAUGCUUGUUUGAGUAUCAGUAAACACCUCAAAAGACUUUCAUUUUUGAAAUGAUUUUGGACUUGAGCAAUCCCAACACCAGUCUUCACGGAUCGGCGGAGGGUUGCUUGAAAUGCAGGUGCAGCUGGACAUUCUCCUGAGCUAAAAGCAUAUCUAUUUAGUCCCGUCAAACGGAUUAUUACUUUUGCUGCAGCUAACAUAAAGGGAGUUUGACCAUUUUGGCUGACUGAUGCAGGAUUUCACAAGGGUCGGUAAAACGAUUUUUGUAAAACUCGAUCUCAAAUCAAGUAAGACUACCCGCUGAACUUAAGCAUAUCAAUAAGCGGAGGA